UAUUAAAAAUUUUAUCUAUUUGUAUUAUUAAACUGACGUGGUUAACAGAAUAACCAGACAAUAUUACAUAACGUCCCAUAUGUGUCUCGUGCUAACAUACAUAGGUUGAUUUUUAACAGUGAAAAUGAAUGAAAUUUUUAAUA
rnacentral:pre_miRNA from 1 species